CUUAUGUUUGUAAACAUUCCUUCGGUUACAAUGGGUAUCGUCAGUGGGUGAACCCGCACAUAUUGAAACAAGCUGGAACCUUUCGUAGAGUGAACAUAUGAAAUAUGGCUUCAGACAAGCUGUCUUCAGCUUAGAGAGUCCUCAUGGUCCUGGGGGGUGUGUUCUUCACAUGGCAGAAGGCUUCUGGAGGUUUCUUGGCAUCUACUGGAUACAACCAAGUAGUUAACAUUUAUGACCCAUAUGGGAAUCUCCGAGAACAGAUACAUUUACCAGGUGUGUGUUCAGGAUUUGGCUGGGACAAAGAUGGAGCUCUUGUCCAUCAUCAAUGACAGGUCACCUCUUGUCCAUGUCUGGGAUGCUAACUCUGGAAGGGUACAGCACUUGGACUCUGGUCUCCGGACACAUUAACAUUCUUAGCAUGGUCACGCUGGCUCCUCUCCUUGCUGUUGGCA